GUCUACGGCCAUGCCACCCUGAACGGGCCCGAUCUCAUCCGAUCUCGAAAGCUAAGCAGGGUCGGGCCUGGUUAGUACUUGGAUGGGAGACCGCCUAGGAAGACCAGGUGCUGUCGGCA
rnacentral:rRNA from 1 species